rnacentral:rRNA from 1 species
AAACACUACUUCGUGAAGUAGCUUGACGGUAUCGUAAGAAUAAGGAUCGGCUAACUCCGUGCCAGCAGCCGCGGUAAUACGGAGGAUCCAAGCGUUAUCCGGAAUCAUUGGGUUUAAAGGGUCCGUAGGCGGUUUAAUAAGUCAGUGGUGAAAGCCCAUCGCUCAACGGUGGAACGGCCAUUGAUACUGUUAGACUUGAAUUAUUAGGAAGUAACUAGAAUAUGUAGUGUAGCGGUGAAAUGCUUAGAGAUUACA